GUAGGGUAUGGUGACAUGGUCCCGACCACCAUUGGUGGCAAGAUUGUGGGCUCCCUCUGCGCCAUUGCAGGUGUGCUGACAAUUGCCUUGCCCGUGCCUGUCAUCGUUUCCAAC
rfam:Salmo salar isolate Sally breed double haploid chromosome ssa22, whole genome shotgun sequence.